AGUGAACGCUGGCGAUAGGCCUAACACAUGCAAGUCGAACGGCAGCACAGUAAGAGCUUGCUCUUACGGGUGGCGAGUGGCGGACGGGUGAGGAAUACAUCGGAAUCUACUUUUUCGUGGGGGAUAACGUAGGGAAACUUACGCUAAUACCGCAUACGACCUACGGGUGAAAGCAGGGGAUCUUCGGACCUUGCGCGAUUGAAUGAGCCGAUGUCGGAUUAGCUAGUUGGCGGGGUAAAGGCCCACCAAGGCGACGAUCCGUAGCUGGUCUGAGAGGAUGAUCAGCCACACUGGAACUGAGACACGGUCCAGACUCCUACGGGAGGCAGCAGUGGGGAAUAUUGGACAAUGGGCGCAAGCCUGAUCCAGCCGUACCGCGUGGGUGAAGAAGGCCUUCGGGUUGUAAAGCCCUUUUGUUGGGAAAGAAAAGCAGCAGGUUAAUACCCCGCUGUUCUGACGGUACCCAAAGAAUAAGCACCGGCUAACUUCGUG
rnacentral:rRNA from 1 species